CACUCGUUACUUGCUUCCAUUGCAUUGCUUCUCAUUCAGGGAGUCUGGCCUAGCCAUUCGGAUCAGUUACUAUUAGGAGUUUCUGUGUAAGUUAAGCAUGAUUAAGCGGUCGCCAAGUAGGAACAGCAGAACCAGAGGCAUCAAGGUAAAGCAUAUUCUGCAGAUUAUUCUGUUGUUGGGCGUUUGCUUCUGGUUGAUCUAUCAGGUUAAGCACUCGCGUGAUAAGAAAAAUGAAUAUGAUGAAAAUGAUAGAGAAGUGUCAGUUGGAACUAAGACUGUGUAUCCGACUCCGAAACUUGGUAGAAAAGAUCUUCAUCCAGGUAAGGAUGAAGAUAAACAUGAACACAAUGAACGUGAAGAAGAAGGAAAUGAGCAUGAAUUUGAAGAAAAUGAUGACAAGCUUGGAUUGAGAGUAGGAGGAGAAGAGGAAGAGGAAGAUGAAAGCAGAAGCGAUGAGAUGGAAGAUGAAAGGGGUGGAGGAGAUGAUGAAAUGGAAGAUGAAAGGGGUGGAGGAGAUGAUGAGAUAGAUGAGACUGAUCAAGAGCAAUCAACAGCAGAUACUGAUCGUGAUGAAGAUCUGCCCGACGAUGAGGAAGAAAAAGAAGAGGAGAGUAAUGAGAAAGAAAACAACAGUAAAGAGGAGGAAAGGGAUGGUUCAGUUGAAAAACACAAUAGUCAUGAAGCUCGGGAGCAACAUUACAAGGGGGAUGAUGCAUCUAGUGCUGUGACUCACGAUACUAGUACAACUAGCACUGAAACUGUGUCACUUUUAGAAAACCCUGAUGUAAACUUAGAUUUUAAUAAUAAAGAAGCUGAAUUGGCGAGUGAGCAGUCUUUCAAUGCGAGCUUGUCCAACGCUGUGUAUAGCUCACAUCUACACAAUGUUACCACGACAUUUUUGGACAGUCAUUCAGAAGCAGGCACUAAUCUGACAGUAGUGAUUGCUGGAGGAAGCAAUGAGUUGACAAGAAUCAGUGCCAAUACUUCAUUUGAACUGAAUAAAACGGUGAUAUUUUCUGAAUCAUACCAAACUCAAAAUGGUACCGUGAACACAAUAGUAACCGGGGUAGCAAAAAAUAUACUCACAGAAGGGUUAGUGCAGGAUGGCAAUAAGGUCUAUGAAGAAAACCAGCCCGGUUCUAAUUCGGCAGUUCCUGUUGAAAUAGAAAAGGGAGAUGCAGCUGCAGGUGAAUCUUCUAAUCUUGAGGGUGGUGUACUAGAGAACACUACAAAAUCUGUGGCAUCAAAUGAAACAGAUAAUAACACUGAAGUGAGUGAAACUAACAAUACUCAGAAUAUUUCUCAUACGAAUGAGAACACUGAUUCUAUUAAGGAUGGAUUCAAAGGUGAUUCAUCUGAUUCUCACAUCCUCAAGAGUGUCGCAGAGGACCGAACUGAUCUGGAUACGUUGCCAGAUAUUAUAAAAGAAGGGGAUGUUGUUGACGCCAUUGCAACAGACUAAAAGCAUGGUUUUUUGUUCUCAAGAAGAGCUGAGAGAUUAGAGUUUUUGUUUCGACCCAUGUUGAUAUUUGAACACUUUUUCCUGUCAAAUAGAUAAAUGUCUAGGCAAGACCAUCAAAGUUACAAAGCUGACAGAAAGGAUGAUUCUUGCGGGCCAUGAAGAGGACAUGUCCAUUCCAGUUGUCCACAACUACAUUUCUGCACCAAAAUACAGCAGUUGAGUCAUAUGGUACGUCAAAUUGAAUUCAAAUGGAGCCUUUUCGUCCCUUACAAAUCACUGCAUUGUAUGAAUACAUUAAUUAAUGGAUAAUGCUGGUUACUCUUUCAUCUUGUUCAGUGGUGCAAUUGCAGGCCUCGAGCUGGUUUAAGCUCAUCACUGUUGAUUUGGAUUAGAUUCUUCAGUGGCAACUCAACUUCUCAAUAAUAGAUGCACAAGUUUCUCUGUCAUUCUACUACCUGUCAAUGUACUACUGUCUUAUAGAGUUUACUGUAUAGGAUAUUUUACAUGUAUAAC